rnacentral:rRNA from 1 species
GAUGAACGCUGGCGGCGUGCCUAAUACAUGCAAGUCGAGCGAACAGACGAGGAGCUUGCUCCUCUGACGUUAGCGGCGGACGGGUGAGUAACACGUGGAUAACCUACCUAUAAGACUGGGAUAACUUCGGGAAACCGGAGCUAAUACCGGAUAAUAUAUUGAACCGCAUGGGUCAAUAGUGAAAUACGGUUUUGCUGUCACUUCUAGAUGGAUCCGCGCCGCAUUAGCUAGUUGGUAAGGUAACGGCUUACCAAGGCAACGAUGCGUAGCCGACCUGAGAGGGUGAUCGGCCACACUGGAACUGAGCCACGGUCCAGACUCCUACGGGAGGCAGCAGUAGGGAAUCUUCCGCAAUGGGCGAAAGCCUGACGGAGCAACGCCGCGUGAGUGAUGAAGGUCUGCGGAUCGUAAAACUCUGUUAUUAGGGAAGAACAAAUGUGUAAGUAACUAUGCACGUCUUGACGGUACCUAAUCAGAAAGCCACGGCUAACUAC